rnacentral:rRNA from 1 species
GACGAACGCUGGCGGCGUGCUUAACACAUGCAAGUCGAACGGAAAGGCCCUGCUUGCAGGGUACUCGAGUGGCGAACGGGUGAGUAACACGUGGGUGAUCUGCCCUGCACUUCGGGAUAAGCCUGGGAAACUGGGUCUAAUACCGGAUAGGAGCCAUUUUUAGUGUGAUGGUUGGAAAGUUUUUUCGGUGUAGGAUGAGCUCGCGGCCUAUCAGCUUGUUGGUGGGGUAAUGGCCUACCAAGGCGGCGACGGGUAGCCGGCCUGAGAGGGUGGACGGCCACAUUGGGACUGAGAUACGGCCCAGACUCCUACGGGAGGCAGCGGUGGGGAAUAUUGCACAAUGGGCGCAAGCCUGAUGCAGCGACGCCGCGUGGGGGAUGACGGCCUUCGGGUUGUAAACUCCUUUCGCUAGGGACGAAGCUUUUUGCGACGGUACCUAGAUAAGAAGCACCGGCUAACUACGUG